GAAGUGAAGUGUUUACAAACGAGUACUCACCUAGUUGUGCUUGCGGGGGUUGAGCUCUGGCUCUUUGGUUCCGCCUCUCAACUGUCAAUCAACUGGCGUGUGGGUGUGUGAAGCAAGAGUCGUGUGUUUGUGUCAUCCAAACACCGGGGUGGAGGAGGCUUGCUUAGACAGAUUUGUCCUUCUACUUGCUGCAAGGUUGUUAUCCCGAGUUCAUCACUCAAGCAACGUCGUAAAUGAACGUAUCGAGUCCGGUCGGGGUCGCGGAGGAGCCACCGCCGCCGCCAUCAACAGCAGCAACAACAAUACACCCGCCGUCAGAAAUCCUGAAUGACUCCUCACUCUCAGACCACCUCCCUUCUGGCCCGUUGAUGGACUCGGUGAUACCGGAGGGUUUGGGUAACUGGUCGUGGGCACGGGAGAUGGGGGCGCCGCCCCAUUGGCUGGCCCACCACGCCACCACGCCCGUGUCCGCCGAGCUCCACCUCCUGGUCGCCGUCAUCCUCACUACCAUCGGCAUCCUUGGCACUGCUGGCAACGCUGUCGUUGUCUGGGUCUUCACCAGGUUCCGUCGACUACGGAGUCCGGCUAACACAUUUAUCGUGAACCUGGCGGCCAGCGACCUCCUGACCUCAGUCCUACACAGCAUGGCCGCCUACUCCUCCUUCAGGCACCAGUGGGCCUUCGGCAAGCUCGGGUGCAACAUCUAUGGCGGAGGGGUGGGCCUGCUGGGGCUGGUCUCCAUCGUCACCCUCUCCUGGAUAGCUGUGGAGCGCCUGAUCGUCCUCCGCACUACCUCCUCCUCCUCCAAGUGGCGCAUCACCCGCACCACCGCCAGGAAGCUGAUCCUGGUCGUCUGGGCCUACUGCAGUGUGCUCGCCCUACCGCCACUCUUCGGUUGGAGCGCCUAUGUUCCUGAAGGACUACUGACAUCGUGUUCGUGGGACUACAUCAGCAGGACUAGGAGCAACCGGGGCUACUACGUGUACCUGCUGGUGGGAGGGUUCCUGCUACCUAUCGUGGCUAUCGUCUGCUGCUACUCCUACAUCCUGGUCGCUCUCUUCCAGCACUCCCGCCUCCUCACCCACGCCUCCUCCAGGACACUGAUGCGUCGCAAUGACCUGCGGACGGCGCAGAUGGUGCUGACGCUCAUCGUGCUCUUCAUCGUCAGCUGGAGCCCGUAUGCCGUCAUCAGCAUCAUCGGUCAGUUCGGCGAGGUGCGGCUGCUGACGCCCUGGGUGGCGACCCUGCCCGCGCUCUUCGCCAAGGCCUCCGUCAUCUACAACCCCAUCGUCUACGGCAUGAGCCACCCACACUUCCGUUCCUCACUCCAGCACUUCUUUUCCAGCGUGGCCGCAUCGCAGCAACAGAUGCACAAUAAGCCUUCGAACGCUGCUCAGCGUGUUUCCGUCAACUCUAUUUUAGCACUGCCCGAUGAUUCGCCGCACCAACACUGGCACUCAGACGGCGCCCCAUCCCCUGGAUACUUCACGGGAGUCAGCACCAGGAAUAACUCCAUAGCGGCGAUAACCGACACUGGUGAAUCGUGCGACUGUUUGCUAGUGCCUGACAUCGGCAUGAUCGCCAGUGGUGACAGCGCUAAUAUGUCAGAACCUGAUCUUUUGCGUCACGACGAUAGGAUCAUCCCUGCCCACUUUAUCACCUAUCUCGCCUAUCACAGGGAGAAGCGAAGGUUCCUGCGCUCGGCGCUCUUCUGCUCGGAAUCGUCUCUAGAGCGGUACAACCGUCGGGGGCAGGUGCACCGUUGCCCACGACAGAUGUACCUGGGGGGAGGCGGGGGGCUCAUGCGCACUACCACUCCGAAUUGUGUGCUGAAGCAGACGGGGCCAUGCACGUGGGACCAUGUGGCCCUCCUGACCCCCUCCUUCCCCCUCCACAAUGACUCCAGCAACGUCUCCGUGCGCUCCACCUCCCCCGAUCCUCGCAGAGUCUCCAUUGCCACCACCUGCUCCAGGAGCCCCAGACUCUCCCUCUCAAAGCUCAACGUAAGCAAGACGCAGCGCCACAUUAACUGCUGCCAGUGCGCGGCGAGCGACUUGGCGCAGACUGUCACUGUCGCCACCAUAAACAACAAACGGCGACGCUCCUCAACCAUCCACGUCUGCCUCAGGGGCAACUUGCACCAGAUGAACGACGUCUAGGACCUUCUUCCAUUCCUCAAUCUGUCGCAAUAAGAUCCUUCGCCAGGGCCCUUAGCGACACAGGUCUUUGUAUAUCACAGAGCAUUGGGGGUGCAGCAACGGAUAUCUUUCACACAUCUCGGGACGGAGUAUGAUCUUGUGUACAAUGUGACUUGUAUCCCUGGCGUUACAGGGAUACAAGAUACUUUACAAUACAUGCAUCGUUUGAUCGUCUAGGACUCGGUUACAGAUGGUAUAAACUCAUGUCAAAGUUUGCUGACGUCAAAAUUAUGAAAAGGAUUCAGACAGAGGAGGACGUCAUGAAGCUACAAGACGACCUGGACUAACAGAAGGAAUUAUCCGACGAGUGGUUAUUAGAGUUUAACCCGAGUAAAUGUAAAGUAAUGAAGAUAGGUGUAGGAAGCAGGAGGUCAGAUACAACGUAGUUGGAAGUUGAAAUUCUUCAAGAAUCAGAGAGAAAGACCUGGGAGUUGAUAUCACAUCCCACAUCAAGUGGAUAUCAUCAGCGGCAUAUUUUGUUGGUUGGCCAGCAUUAGAACAGUCUUCAGAAACUUGUGUAAGGAAUCAUUUAGGACCUUAAUUACCACAUAUGUCACACCAAUCCUGGAGGAUCCAGCUCCAGUGUGGAGUCCGUAUCUGGCCAAGCAUAAGACCAAAUUGGAGGUUCAAAAGUAUGCCCCUAAACUAGUACCCGAGCUGAGGGGUAUGAGUUACGAGGAGAGACUACGGGAACUAAACCUCACGUUGCUGGAAGAAAGAAGAGUUGGGGAGACAAGAUCACCACAUACAAAAUCCUCAGAGGAAUUGAUAAAAUUCCUCUGAGAAUUUAGAGGAAAAAAAGUAGAUCAAAAAACAGUAGAUAAAGACAAUUUAUUUAGCACAAGGGGGACACAAGUGGAAACCGAGUACCCAGCUGGGCCACAGAGAAACUAGAACUAACUUUUUAAGUGUCAGAGUAAUUAACAAAUGGAAUGCAUUAGGCAGUGAUGUGGUGAAGGCAGACUCCAUACACAUUUUCAAAUGUAGAUAUAACAAGAGCCCAAGAGAUUCAGGAAUCUGUACACCAGUCGACUGCCGGUCGAGAGGCAGGACCAAAAGUCGAAGCUCAACCCCCGUGAGCACAAUUAGGCGAGUACAACUAGGUGAGUACAAAAGAGAACCCUAUUCAGACUCAUUGCCAGACAACAACCAUUUCUCAUGAAGCUGGGCCAAGAAGAACCAAUGAACGGGAUUUCUAUAAUACAAGCCACUAGUCAGCUGCUGGAGAGGAAAAGAGCAGUAGUAGUAGUAAGCAUUAAGGAACAAGAAGGCUCCAGUCAGGCAGAGUAGAGAGGGUUAAGCUACGAACAUAGGAUAAUGAUACUAAAUCUCACAAUCUUAGAGGAUAGAAGGAACUGAGGGGAUAUGAUCACAACUUAUAAGAUACUGAGGGAAAUAGAUAAGGUAGACAAGGAUAACCUCUUCAGACUGAGAGAAAGCAGGUCAAGAGGAUACAGAUGGAAGACGGAAGUGCAAAUGAGCCAAAGGGACGUAAAAAAAUACCCGUACCCUGUACGGGUACUUAACAUGUGGAAAGCUCUUAAAGAGGAAGUUGUGGAAGCCACCUCCAUCCACAACUUUAAGGUAAAGGUAAAGGUAAAGAAUCUGGAACUCAAGAGUAGUCAAGAUGAAACGCAACAGGUACAAGGCUAGUAGGUGGGACAUAAAAAGCUACACCUCACUCUCCCAUACACACUGAUAGGUACAAGCACAAACAAAUGGACAGAGUUUCACCAGACGCCUCUGUUCACCUAGCAGUAAAUAGGUACCUAGGAGUUGGAUGCCUGCUAUGGACUGAAUCCUGGGGAUGUGUGU